GACGAACGCUGGCGGUGUGCUUAACACAUGCAAGUCGAACGGUAAGGCCCUUUCGGGGGUACACGAGUGGCGAACGGGUGAGUAACACGUGAGUAACCUGCCCUCAUCUCUGGGAUAACAGUCGGAAACGGUUGCUAAUACUGGAUAUGAGCUUGCAAGGCAUCUUGUGGGUUGGAAAGAUUUUUUUUGGUUGGGGAUGGACUCGCGGCCUAUCAGCUUGUUGGUGAGGUAGUGGCUCACCAAGGCUUCGACGGGUAGCCGGCCUGAGAGGGCGACCGGCCACAUUGGGACGGAGAUACGGCCCAAACUCCUACGGGAGGCAGCAGUGGGGAAUAUUGCACAAUGGACGGAAGUCUGAUGCAGCAACGCCGCGUGCGGGAUGACGGCCUUCGGGUUGUAAACCGCUUUCAAUUGUGACGAAGCUUUUUUGUGACGGUAGCAGUAGAAGAAGCACCGGCUAACUACGUG
rnacentral:rRNA from 1 species